rnacentral:rRNA from 1 species
UACGUAGGGUGCAAGCGUUAAUCGGAAUUACUGGGCGUAAAGCGUGCGCAGGCGGUUAUGUAAGUCAGAUGUGAAAUCCCCCGGGCUCAACCUGGGAACCGCGCUUGAGACUGGCACGCUCGAGUUCGGGAGAGGAUGGUGGAAUUCCCAGUGUAGAGGUGAAAUUCGUAGAUAUUGGGAAGAACACCGAUGGCGAAGGCAGCCAUCUGGACCGACACUGACGCUGAGGCGCGAAAAGCGUGGGGAGCAAACAGGG